rnacentral:rRNA from 1 species
GUCCACGCCGUAAACGAUGAUAACUAGCUGUCCGGACACUUGGUGUCUGGGUGGCGCAGCUAACGCAUUAAGUUAUCCGCCUGGGGAGUACGGUCGCAAGAUUAAAACUCAAAGGAAUUGACGGGGGCCUGCACAAGCGGUGGAGCAUGUGGUUUAAUUCGAAGCAACGCGCAGAACCUUACCAGCGUUUGACAUGGAUAGUUUGGUUUCCAGAGAUGGAUUCCUUCAGUUCGGCUGGCUAUCACACAGGUGCUGCAUGGCUGUCGU